rnacentral:lncRNA from 1 species
GCUACAAAAGAAAACAGAUUCUAAUUGCACUUAUGCAAAUAACUAUACUGCCAUAAGUUAAGAAUUCUAGCAACUAGUUUUCAAAUUCUGGAGAAAUCAGGUAGAGAGAAACAAAUAUGCUCCAAAUUUUGUUCACAGGAGUAUACUUUACUCAACUGUUAAAAGCUAUAAAUAGCUCAAAAGAAAAAUUUCCUUGUCUCUAAAAACAAAACAAAGGAUCAGAAACCUGCAUGUAAGAGCACCUGUUGGAGUUUUACAGCUGAUUAUAAAACCACCUUCUAAAGAGGACCAAAAUAGGCCAGGUGUGUGGCUCACAUCUGUAAUUUCAGCACUUUGAGAGGCCAAGGUGGGCUGAUCACCUGAGGUCAGGAGUUCAAGACCAGCCUGGCCAACAUGGUGAAACCCCAUCUCUACUGAAAAUACAAAAAAAUUAGCUGGGCAUGGUGGUGUAUGCCUGUAAUCCCAGCUACUCGGGAGGCUGAGGCAGGAGAACCGCUUGAACCUGGGAGGUGGCAGUUGCAGUGAGCCAAGAUCGUGCCGCUGCACUCCAGCCUGGGCAACAGAGUGAGUCCCCAUCUCAAAAAUAAUAAUAAAAAUAUAUUUAAAAAAGAGGACCAAAACAACAAUUGUGCAUGGAAGAAAAAAGUUUUAAGGCAGCCAUAGUCAAAAGACAAAACUGACAAGGAAAUUUUUUACCUCUGUGGCACACAAUAAUUUUAAUAUAACAAUUAUGAUUAUUACUGAUAAUGUACACUAAGUUAUAUUAGAAUUAUAGGAGUUUCACAUAAUUUUGGAACAUACACCAAUAACAUAUUUAUACAAAUACAGCCCAAAGAAAACCAAACACCAUUUCACAUUUGACAAUGCUUCCUAUAUAAUUUUUAUACCAAAUAAGCCAAAUUAUGUCAUUUUAGGACUUUAGGGAAACUAAGAUCUUAAAGGAUUAAUUAGGUUAGAAAAAUACAUAAUUUAUAAUUUGAUUUUGGAAAGCUUGUCAAAUACAAAAGGUUUAAAACACUUGACAUUACAAAAUAAAAUUACAGGUCAUCGUAAAGUCAUUUAUUUAAUCCAAGUGAUAAUUCAAGGAUUUCAAAAAAAGCAAAAACCUUCAUUCUUUGAGAGAGGUGACUUAACUUUCUAAACAAGAAGCCCUAAUAAAAACAGCCUGAAGCCAAUCACAUUUGAUUUUCAAAAUUUUGUAAACAAACUAUAAGAUUUAAUCUUGAUUAUAAAAUAUAACUUCCAUAAGCCUUUUAUAACCUUUAUGAAGGAGUUGGUUAAUGCUUCAAGAAAACCUUGCUAAUCAGACACAGGGGUCCAUAUACUGAUUUUGCAUCAGUGUGCCUUUGACUUGAAUGAUUAGUUCAUAGAGAAACUGAACUUACUGGAUCUUUCAAAAUCGGCCCUUACAAUCUUACGCGCCCACCUCUUCCGCAAUAGUCCCUGGGCCUUGAGGAGUUGAAUAGCUUUAAUUUCUUGCCUAGUGCCUCAGGAAUGCAGUUUAUUUUGAUUGGCAUCUUCUACGGGGCCUUAAGAUGAGGCUUUGAUUGUCAUCAGUGUUUGUGAUUUUUCAGACACAGGAGUUAAAGCCCUGUAACUCAAUGUUACAAGGACUUUAAAAGCAUACACAGGAAGAUACAUGGAUGUAAUAACCUUGAUUUUUUAAAAAUUAGCUCUUUCUUCCCUAAGCAAACCAAAACUUAAUAAUAAUAUGACAACUUGAUUAUAUAAAAGCUUUUGGGGUGUGUGUGUGUGUGUGUAUAUAUAUAUAUAAAAUCUUAUCAUGACUUACACCAAUGUUCAUGACAUGCUUGGACUUUCUGGUUUGUCCUGAACAUCCCUCCUUGUUAAACAACCAGUUAUUUUAUUUUAGGACUAAAUUUACCAUAUAAAAUUCUUUCUUAUAUAAAAUUAUUUCUUUUUCAGCUUUUUAACCUUGAAAAAAUUCUUUAUUUUUAUAACUUUAUUUACAUUUUUUUUCUUUUCUGGUUCCUUUUACCUUGUUUUAUAUAUAACCUUUUAAUAAGCUUUGAAUUAGACAAAACUUGUUCACCAUUUUUUUAAAAAAGGACACACUUUUUUUUAAGCAACAAUGUUUUCCUACAAGAUAUAUUUAUUGGAAAAUACCCAAAUAAUAAAUUAUCUAUUAUUUAAUUUAAUAUGACUUUAUAUUCUAAAUUAUGUCCAGUUGGUCUAUAAGUAUUUAUCCCAUUACAUUUACCUAGUUAUUUUAUUAAUUGUUUACCUAGAUUAUUUAUAAAAACUGUGAUAGUCAUGAUUUAAAGUUAUGAAACUUCCAUUGCAAAAUUACAACUGAGACAGUGAAAAACGAUUUGACCUAACUGACUCCACCUUGCUCUUAACUUCCAAGCUGUCCUUGUUCAUUCCUGGGCAUAGGCCGAAUGAACUUUGGGAGGAACCUAGUUUAAGUUCAGCUUCGAAACAAUGACAAUAACAGUCCUUUCCCAAAACAAACCUCCUUAUUGUCUGUGGACUAAACUGCCUAAAGCCACAGGAUUAGAAGUUAUGGUAAUCUUACUAAAUUCAAGAUGCAGCUGUUUUCAUUAAACCCAUAUCAAUGUCUUAUUUAUUAAAAAUUACACAAGCAAAGAUCAUUCUGUUUUGGGCUGGGUUUAUAGUUUUAUAACCCCUAUGCCAAAUUUUGACACCUUCUGGUAUUUGGCAGGGAUAAGUAUAAAACUGUUUGAUUAAUAUAAUGCAAACAAAAAUGUAUGCUGGCAAUUCUUAAGACAUUUCUAAUACUACUUUACCAAUAAUUUUAAAGCUACUUUAUUUAUUAAAGAUUUUACUUAAGUUACAUAAAUUUGAAAAAGCAUUUGACUAGCCUUUUCUUUUUUAGUAUCUGAUUUAAGCACUUUUAUUUUUCUUUAAGCCAAGUAGAGCUCUUUUACAUAUUUUUAGCACUAAAACAUCGUGUACACAACACAUACAUACAUAUAAAGACGUAUUAGGCAUGCCAAUAGAAGUACAUUUUAUAGAUUUAUAAUGCCCCCCCACUUUUUUUUCCUAUCUUAGACUUUCAGAUUCUUGAUAACCUGUUUUACAACCCUAGGCAGUUGUCAGCUAAAUAGCCUUAAAUUUUUGCACAUUAAAGGAAACAACCCAGGUGAAAAUCAAAUAGCAAAAUUUACAUGAUAAGGUACAGAGAGGAAAAGUCUGGUGGUGUUAGAGGGAGAUGCUUUUAUUUUUCUUUGAGCGAUAUUAAACAUAAAACGAAACUACAUUCUUCCUUAACCCAAGAGUAGCCUCUGUUGCAAUAGCUAUUUUAGUCAAAAAAUCCGGUGAAAACAGAAUUCAGUCAACUGAGAAGUAAAAGGAAAAAAAAAAAAAAAACUUUUGCUACAAAAAAAAGACAAGGUCUUAGGAGAGAAAAACAAACAAGAAACAAAAACAUGAAGGCCUUUCAAAUACAAACAUGCACAAAACACACAUCAUGGAUGUUACUGUUUCAGUUAAGCAGACUUUCAACCACUGAGCUUCUUUAAAAACUUAAAAAAAAAAUCUUAUUACCAAAUCUCAGCUAGGACAAAGUGUUGCUAUUUCAGAAGUACAGCCAUUGCUCUUUGAGUUUGGUCUGGCUAGCAAAAAGCUGGCUGUGUUAUGUAAAUAAAGCCCCUAUAGUAAUUAAAAUUUAAAAAAAGUUUUUUAAGCUGGCUGUUUUCCUACCACUUCAGAGUCCUUGACCCCGUAAUUUAGGGUUCCCCUUCAGAUUUGACUAAGACAGAAACAAACAACAAAACAGUUAAGCAAAACUAACAAUGGUCACACAAAUUAUACAAUUUCUGAGUGCUCUAAGUGCAUUGGAAGAAAGCUGAAACUCCAUAAAAACAUCACCUGCCUUCCAUCAUCAUGAAAGCAGGAAAACUUGCCUUCCUUGUUGGGAGCAAGUAAAACUCCAAAAAAAGAGGUGUUGUACAGCAAAAUAAACUUCCGAUCUCUACCAAAUUUUAAGAGAUCAGGGAUUUUCUGGAGGGAGUCCUCUCAGACCUCAGCAAAUUGUCCUAUUGGUUUGAGCCAUAAAGUUAGCUCAUGCUGGUACCAAGCACCGAUAGAUUUGUCAAGGGUCAGGGGCAUCUCCACCCAGAAUCCAUUCAUGGUUUCCAAAAUGUGAACCCAGAAAAUCCGAGACAGGUCUCAGUUAAUUUAGAAAGUUUAUUUUGCCAAGGUUGAGGACACACUGUGACACAGACUCAGGAAGUCCUGAUGACAUGUGGCCAAGAUGGUUGGGGCAUACCUUGGUUUUAUACAUUUUAGGGAGACAUAAGACAUUAAUCAAUAUAUGUAAGAAGAACAUUGGUUCAGUGGGGAGGGAGCUUCCAGGUCACAGAUAGGUGAGACACAAACAGUUGCAUUCUUUUGAGUUUCUGAUUAGCCUUUCCAAAGGAGGCAAUCAGAUAUGUAUCUAUCUCAGUGAGCAGAGAGAUAACUUUGAAUAGAGUGGGAGGUGGGUUUGCCCUAAGAAGUUUCCCUAAGCUUGAGUUUUCCUUAGUGAUUCUGGGGCCCCAAGAUAUUUUCCUGUCACAGUUGACAUCCCCAACACAGUGUUUAGGGCUCAGAAAAAGAUACCCUAAAAUAGGGUGCUUUGGCAUGCUGAGUGCUUUGAAUAAAGGAGACUGAAGGGCCUCAGAAAUAAGAGAACAAAGGUCUAUCUCUGACCCACUGCUGCCCACCUCCCUUCCCUUCCAAAGCACAGGGAGGGAUUUUCUUUGAAGUUCUCUUAUUUGAUUAAGGGAAGUUUCUCCAGAAGGAAGGUAAUUGUCCUGGACACCCCUUCCUGGAAUCUACAUCGAUCAGAGAAGAUUAACUCAUAUUGCAGGACAGGAGAAUAAUUAAAAGUUGCUCAAGACAGCACACCUAGAUAGACUUUUUGCUUAUUCUUUCAACUAUAGUUAUGUGUCCAAUAACAAUGUUUCGGUCAACUGCAUAUACAACCAUGGUUUGAUAAGAUUUAUAGUGGACUUGAAAAAUUCCUAUUGCCUAAUAUACUGAAGGAAGAAAAUGUUUUAAUAUGCAUUUUGUGUACCCUAAGUGUGCUGUGUUUAUAAAGCCUACAGUAGUAUACAGUAAUGCCCUAGGCCUUCACAUUCAUUCACCACUCACUGACUCAUCUGGAGCAACUCUCAGCCCUGCAAGCUCCAUUCGUAGUAAGUGCCCUGUACAGGAGAGCCAAUUCUUAUCUUUUAUGCCAUAUUUUUACUUUCCUUUUUCUCUGUUUACAUAUGUUUAGAUACACAAAUAUUUCCCAUUGUGCUGCAAUUGCCUAUAGUAUUCAGUAGUCACAUGCUGUACAGGUGCGUAGCCUGGGAGCAAUAGGCUCUCCCAUAUAGCCUAGGUAUGCAGUAGGCUAUGCCAUCUAAGUUUUGUAUAAGUACAAUCUGUGAUAAUCACACUACAAUGCAAUUGCCUAAUGACACAUUUAUCAGAAUGCGUCCCUGUCACCAAGAGAUACAUGACUGUAUUCUUCUUCUUUUUUUUUUUUUUUUUUUUUUUUGAGAUGGGGUCUCAUUCUGACACCCAGACUGGAGUGCAGUGGCAUGAUCUUGGCUCACUGCAACCUUUACAGCC